rnacentral:rRNA from 1 species
UACGGAGGGUGCGAGCGUUGUCCGGAAUCACUGGGCGUAAAGGGCGCGUAGGCGGCUGGGGAAGUCGGCGGUGAAAGCCCCGGAGCUCAACUCCGGGUCGGCCGUCGAGACUCCUCGGCUCGAGCUCACUAGAGGCGAUGGAAUUCCGGGUGUAGCGGUGGAAUGCGUAGAGAUCCGGAAGAACACCGGUGGCGAAGGCGGUCUGCUGGGGUGAGGCUGGACGCUGAGGCGCGACAGCCAGGGGAGCAAACGGGG